ACACAUGCAGUCGAGCGGUAACAGAUCCAGCUUGCUGGAUGCUGACGAGCGGCGGACGGGUGAGUAAUGCAUAGGAAUCUGCCCGAUAGUGGGGGAUAACCUGGGGAAACCCAGGCUAAUACCGCAUACGUCCUACGGGAGAAAGGGGGCUCCGGCUCCCGCUAUGGGAUGAGCCUAUGUCGGAUUAGCUAGUUGGUGAGGUAACGGCUCACCAAGGCCACGAUCCGUAGCUGGUCUGAGAGGAUGAUCAGCCACAUCGGGACUGAGACACGGCCCGAACUCCUACGGGAGGCAGCAGUGGGGAAUAUUGGACAAUGGGGGAAACCCUGAUCCAGCCAUGCCGCGUGUGUGAAGAAGGCCCUCGGGUUGUAAAGCACUUUCAGCGAGGAAGAACGCCUAGCGGUUAAUACCCGCUAGGAAAGACAUCACUCGCAGAAGAAGCACCGGCUAACUCCGUGCCAGCAGCCGCGGUAAUACGGAGGGUGCAAGCGUUAAUCGGAAUUACUGGGCGUAAAGCGCGCGUAGGUGGCUUGAUAAGCCGGUUGUGAAAGCCCCGGGCUCAACCUGGGAACGGCAUCCGGAACUGUCAAGCUAGAGUGCAGGAGAGGAAGGUAGAAUUCCCGGUGUAGCGGUGAAAUGCGUAGAGAUCGGGAGGAAUACCAGUGGCGAAGGCGGCCUUCUGGACUGACACUGACACUGAGGUGCGAAAGCGUGGGUAGCAAACAGGAUUAGAUACCCUGGUAGUCACGCCGUAAACGAUGUCGACCAGCCGUUGGGUGCCUAGC
rnacentral:rRNA from 1 species